CGGUGGGGCUUAGGCGGGGGGCUAGGGGUCCCUUGUACCGUAAACCCUCUAUAGGACGGGCUGACAGCUGAGGCUGAGGCGUUUAAGGUCGCUGAGACCCUCAUUUCCGAAACGAAGACUAUCCGUCCCUUGGGGCUGGCGGUUGUUGGGCAGCUUCCGUAGGGAAGCCGUCUCCAACGUUUACCAGGUGAAUCUGGCCAGGCCCGGGAGGGAGCAACCUAAGUCUGGACGUUUGGCGCUCAAGGGGGUGCGGGUACGAGUGUAGGGUUUGAGGGCUAGGCGGAUUCUGAAUGUCGAACCCCAGUGACCCAUCG
rnacentral:SRP_RNA from 1 species